rnacentral:tRNA from 1 species
AGCUAUUUAGUUUAUCUAAAAAUUUUUGUUUGUGGUACAAAAGAAAUAAUUGGCUAU